GUGUUCUGUUUUCAUCCACAUUUCGUGAGUUCGCUUCCAUUGUUUGGGGAGCGCCUUUUCAGGUGUCCCGUUUCCAAAGGAACUUUUGCCACGACCACCCGUGUGCUGAGCUACAGCAGAUUCCUCUUGUGUUGCAAAGGAUUCUGGGGCAUAUCCUGGCAGCUUUGGGCAGCCGUCAGGGCCCACUGCUGAGUGGACCCCCCUGGAGCCCCAUUUUUAAUAAAUAAUAAUAAUAAUAAUAAUCCAACCCAGCAUUCAGAGCAGCAUUGGCUUGCUGAGCCAAGCUGCCAAGUCAGUUUCCCACAAUGCAGCUGGCAUAGCUUUGCUCUGGGGCAUUGUGGGAAAUUCAGCUGUUGGCUAUACUCAGAGACCUUGGGAUGCUACCAGAUAAGUCCAAAGGGUCUCACAGACCAAGGAAGAGGCCUACCAGGAUUCAGUUGGCCUAAGUCCCCCUCAGACCUGGAACCGACCCCAAACCAACCUAGUAGGCCUCACCCCACAUUGCCUAUCCGUGAAUUGAGAGUAUACCCUUCAACUCAGACUGCGUGUUGUGGGGAAGGCGGACAGUGACGGAUUAUGUUUUUAAAAGCCAGGAUACGGUGAAGCGCUGCUGGAAACUGACCUGAGAAAUUCUGCUCAAUUAUUCAUGCUAGAAGAUCAUUGUUUUGAUGGGAUGACAGCAAUGCCCCUGAAAGAGAGAUCCACCGAGGCCAAAGAAACAGGGGAGACAAGGCGAGGGUUGGAAAUCACCUUGUAAAGACUUGGGGAGAAUCACUGCACAGACUUUAUUCCCGGGGUUGAAAAGGGCAAGGACGCAAUCGACGCGGGGGAAAGUCUCCUGCGCAAGCCCCCGCCCCUUCGCCCAGAAAUGAAGGAGGUUAGUGGUUUUGCUCGGCUGAUGGCGCCCAUUUCAACCGCGCCGCCUCCGCAGGUGAAGUUCCCAGUCGAUUGUCUCGCUAAGCCCAUCUUCCUCUUGCACAGGAAUGUCAACUCGAAAAAAAUAUUUGAAUGGCAAUGCC